CUCACCUGGAAUGUGCAGAGACAAUGAAGAGCUUAGUACCAGCAAGACUUUCCCACCCUGAUGCCGAAGGUGUAGAUGUUUGAUUUAAUAUAGUUUUUUAUUGAGAUACCUUAAUUAGAAGUAACUAUUCAAUAGCUCUGCAAAAAAUAUAAACUUUUUUCAAGUUUAUGAUGCUUUUGGGGACACGUUAAUUACGUUUUUGAAGAUGAUACAAAAAUUCUGCAACAAUUGUGACAAUCAAUUAAUCGUUUAUUGCGCAAAAAUGCCAAAAAAAAAUGUUGUGGUACCAGCUUCUCAAAUGCAAGGCUUUGCUGUCUUUCUCUGAUUUUAUAUAAUUGUAAAUUUAACUAUCUUCUUAUCUUAUUUUGAACGGUUUGUUCUUGUUCUUUAGUUACUUUUCAGAUUUCAUUUUUUCAUCUCCAAAUGUGGUGAUUUUUAAUCUGAAUGUUUGAGUGUGCAUUUGUGAGCAGUAAUAGUUAAAAUUAGCCUGACCUUAAACAUCUAAUGCUGUAAAAUGCAACAUACACAUGAAUGCAGUUUAAGUAAUGCUCUUUUAGGUUUUUAUUAAAACCAUAUAUAGUAUUUUUUUUGUGUAGUAUGAUUUGGGAGUGAAUUCCAUUCUUGCAUUGCUCUGUAUAUUGCUGUACUUUGACCUGAUUUGGUUUUGGAUCUUGGUAAAGUAAAACAACCUGCAGCAGCAUGCCUUGUGGAAUAACUGUGUGUAUCUGUACUAAAGGAUAGUUUUUUUGUUAUUAAAUAAAUGGAGUAUUU